UCUCCGUUGGUGAACCAGCGGAGGGAUCAUUACAGGACUCGCAAGACUCCUACAACCCUGUGAACUUAACUAUAAGCACGUUGCUUCGGCGGGUGUCUCUGCGGGGGUUCUCCCUCCCCGCGACCCUAAACCCUCCGGCAGCCCUCUAUAUUCUGUCUCUUUUCGUUGGCAUCUCUCGUACUAUCACACAAGUCAACACUUUCCACAACUGACCCCUUGGUUCUGGCCGCAGCAGAAAACACAACAACACGUCAGAACUCCAGUCUCAACCUCUGUCACUACAGUCGGCUCGACCAGACGGUAAGUAAAUGUCGAAGCAAGGGUGCUGAUGGGGAGUCCGGGGGUGAACCAUCGGAGGACUCGUACAUAACAUACAUUCCUGGGAACUUAUCUAUAACCACGUCGACUGGGGGGGCGUCUUGGGGGUGGUUCUCCCUCCCGGGGGCGUUAAACCCGCCGGCAAACUACUAUACUCUGUCUCUUUGCGUUGGCAUCACGAGUACAAUCAAACAAGUUAAAACUUUCAACAACGGAUCUCUUGGUUCUG
rnacentral:misc_RNA from 1 species